GACGAACGCUGGCGGCGUGCUUAACACAUGCAAGUGGAGCGACGAACCAGGCUUCGGCCUGGGGCAAAGCCGCGAACGGGUGAGUAACACGUGGGUAACCUGCCCCGAUGACCGGGACAACCCGAGGAAACUCGGGCUAAUACCGGAUGUGCUGCCCUCACGCGAGUGAGGGUUGCAAAGGAAGCUUCGGCCUCCGCAUUGGGAUGGGCCCGCGGCCCAUUAGCUUGUUGGUGAGGUAACGGCNCACCAAGGCUGCGAUGGGUAGCUGGUCUGAGAGGACGAUCAGCCACACUGGGACUGAGACACGGCCCAGACUCCUACGGGAGGCAGCAGUGGGGAAUCUUGCGCAAUGCGCGAAAGCGUGACGCAGCAACGCCGCGUGGGGGAAGAAGGCC
rnacentral:rRNA from 1 species